rnacentral:rRNA from 1 species
GCACAAGCGGUGGAGCAUGUGGUUAAUUCGAAGCAACGCGAAGAACCUUACCAGGUCUUGACAUCCCUGACAACCCGAGAGAUCGGGCGUUCCCCUCGGGGGACAGGGUGACAGGUGGUGCAUGGUUGUCGUCAGCUCGUGUCGUGAGAUGUUGGGUUAAGUCCCGCAACGAGCGCAACCCUCGACCUUAGUUGCCAGCAUUCAGUUGGGCACUCUAAGGUGACUGCCGGCUAAAAGUCGGAGGAAGGUGGGAUGACGUCAAAUCAUCAUGCCCCUUAUGACCUGGGCUACACACGUGCUACAAUGGCCGGUACAGACGGAGGCGAAGCCGCGAGGCGGAGCAAAUCCUAAAAAGCCGGUCUCAGUUCGGAUUGCAGGCUGCAAUUCGCCUGCAUGAAGUCGGAAUCGCUAGUAAUCGCAGGUCAGCAUACUGCGGUGAAUACGUUCCCGGGCCUU